rnacentral:rRNA from 1 species
UAUCUCUGUAGAGUCUGCAUAUCAAUAAGCGGAGGAAAAGAAACUAACAAGGAUUCCCCUAGUAACGGCGAGUGAAGCGGGAAGAGCUCAAAUUUGAAAUCUUCAAGGUUUGACCUUGACGAAUUGUAGUUUAAAGAAGUGUUUUCGGUUAGAGGAGUAGGUAAAGUUCUUUGGAAUAGGACAUCAUAGAGGGUGAGAAUCCCGUAUUUGACUAUUCUUUCUAGCUUUGUGAUACACUUUCAAAGAGUCGGAUUGUUUGGGAAUGCAGUCCAAAAUGGGUGGUAAAUUUCAUCUAAAGCUAAAUAUUGGCGAGAGACCGAUAGCGAACAAGUACCGUGAGGGAAAGAUGAAAAGAACUUUGAAAAGAGAGUUAAACAGUACGUGAAAUUGUCAAAAGGGAAGCGCUUGACACCAGUGUUGUUUUCUCGAAAAUCAAUUAAAAAUUGAUUCAUGCCAGGUUGUAUUGACCUUAUCAGCUUGCAAUUUGGUUUUGGGUCUCUUUUUGAUGCACUUUUCGGUUAACAAGUCAACAUCAAUUUCCUUUGCUGUAAAAAGGUAAGAGGAAGGUGGCUUCAAUUUCGGUUGAAGUGUUUAUAGCCUUUUAUCUCUGCAGUCGGGGAGAUUGAGGUCUGCAGCGUAGAUCCUUCGGGGCUAGAUACAUUUAUGCUAAGUUAUAGCUUUUCAUAGACAACUUGUUGACUAUGUUUAGUCAUGCGGCUUACUCGCUUGUGCUAUUUUACCUACGCUUAGGAUGUUGAGCGCAUGUCUCUCUCU